GCCGAGAUAGCUCAGUUGGGAGAGCAGCAGACUGAAGCAAUAAUACUUGAGCAUUGUAUUCUGAAGGUCGGGCGUUCGAUCCGCCCUCUUGGCA